GGAUGUCCCACCUACACAAGGAGGAAGAAGCUUCAGAGCAGAGAACUCGAUGUGCAAGGGGGGAUUUCAGUCCCACAAAGCUGCAGAAAGCCCAUCCUGUGAUUUCUGAAUUGCUCCUUCAUCCACCUUCCCAAGAGGACAGACCACUUUCCACUGCACAGAGAGCCAGAAACUUGCUGACAGCAGCUGGGGUUGUUUCCAGCAUUGACCUGCCCAUCACAACCAGCAUGAAUCUGGCCUCCUUGGUGCCAGCAGCCUUGGCAGGACAGGAAGGUGUCCUCUAGAGCAGGACCACCUUCUCUCCAGGGAGAGAUACUAUUGAUGUAAGAUGCUUACAACAAGAAGUUUAAGAGGGAAUAGGCUCUAGCCUGUAAAUUGAAACCCAGUGAAUCACACAGCUAAUGCUGUUGAUGUCUUUGCCCAAAGUAUGACAGACAAGGGCACUGAGAGCUCUGGGAGGAGCUCUGGAGGCUGGAGGUUGCUCCUAGGAUCUGUUCCUGGACAUGGUGGUGGAAAAGUCUUUGUCUUUGAUUUCAAAGGGAUGAGUGCCUCUCACUGUUCGUUAGGCUGGAUCUCUGUUUCUCCCUAUCUGCCACAGAAAAUAUUUUGAUUGUGAGAGCCAAAGCAAUUCUGUUGUGGACUCUAUCAGGUGCAGUCCUUGAGGCACACUGCUGCCUCAAACUCUUUUCAGACCUGUGACCUCCUCACUGGAAUGAUGCCACCAGCCAGAGUGGCACUGGGUGUCACCAUGAGCCCCAGUGAAUAUUCUGAUAUUACUCAAGGAGAGUGGAAGGGGGCAAGUCAUGCUUUGGGGUAAACUGGAUUUUCACAGUGGUGGCUCCUCAGGAUGCUAUGAUGGCAGUGUCUGCCCUGCACAGAGCAGGAAAGCAGAAUGCCAGAUUUAACAAGUGGUGAUUUUAAUGCUGAACUUAGACCUCUGAAGAUCCUGUAACACCCAAUCCACCCUGCCGGGUGGGAUUCAGCACUGAACUGAUUUAUGGCAACGCACAGCAGGCUCUGUGGAGCAUGUUUAUAAAGAUAACACCAAACCACUUCUAGCUUUAUUAAAACACAAUUAGCAGGCCCUGCAAAUUUCUUAAAUAUGCCCAAUUUCCAACGCAAUUACUAUUAAUCUCCAUUCGGGGUGCAAGUCAGCAAAGUGACAUGCGGAAACUUACACGUUCUCGACUCAGGAAUGCGACUCAGAGGAUGACUUCAUGCUCCUGAAUGAGAAGAUCAGCAUGCCAGAUGUGCCUCGUGCCUGACCCCUUGAAAGGCUCUGAAAGAUCACACGUAACUUUCAAAUGUCAUUUCGUGCAUGCAGAAGGAGGAAGCAGAGCCUGAUAGCUUUAUGGUACUUAGCUUCCCAUUUCAUUUGGUUAGGGCGGUGUGAAUGUCUUCAUAACA